AGAUUAAUCCCUGCAGAGUACUCCUACAUUGCUCCAAAAUAUCAUUGAAUCAAUCUUACAAUCCCCGCAGAGUACUCCUUACGAGUUUACUGGGUUCUGAAAGCAGCAACAGGGGUUUUUGACUUGGUAACUAUGAUUCUGGUGAAGGGAGUUUGGUUUGAUAAUAUGUGUGUUCUCUUGGCUUGUGGAGUUGCAUGGAGGGCGGGGUGCUUCGGUUUUUGGAUGACCUUCGAAGGAAUUGGGAGCAAGGAGGCAUGGGAAAGGGGUGAACCAAGUGGUUGACAUCGGCUACGGCGAACCAGCGGAGUAGCAACGGAGCACUGGCCGCAGCAGCACCCCAUGGAAAGGGCAAAGGCAAGGUCACCGAGCUUGAGUAGGAGGUUUGGCCCAAUCUUUGCCGUUUUGUCCAGUCGUUGCAGCUUCUGAAUCUGAUUUGGGACUAUGUUCGACGAAAUCAUUUGGAACUAGGACUCUGAAGCUUUUGAUGAAGCCAUCUCGGAGCUGGACUCCCUGAGCGAGGAGUCCUACAAGGACACCAUUUUGAUCAUGCAACUCCUUUAUGACAAUUUGACCCUCUGGACUUCCGAUAUCUCGGUAAUCAUCUAUUUCCCAAACAUAAAGUUCUGCUCAUACUCUUUACUUUAUCCUGAAACCAUCCCGAUUCCUUAACAAUUGUUUU